rnacentral:lncRNA from 1 species
AGCUGGGGACUAAAACUUGGACAUUUCUUUUUAAGGAUUAUUUGACCCAAUAUGAAGAAAGAGAAACCUGAAGUCUUCUGUUUUGCUGGAAACCUCCCCCUGAUGGCUCAGGUAUGGCCACAGAGUUUAUUCAGGGCCUAAGACACAAACAGAUUUUAAAGGACCUCUGAAACUUCUGGAGCUGAACUGAGGCCAGUGUACUUAAAAUAUGUUUAAACAAGAUCCAAGUCCAGCCAUUUCUUCUCUAAGUGAAGCAUCUAAUUAGACUGCGAUGAGACCAGUGAAUUCUUGGAAUUUGGGAAAUAUGCAGAUAGCCAAGACUGGACUUAAUGAUGAAAUGCAAAAAAGCCACCCACCACCAGCUGAAGGGUCCAGUGCUGAAGUAUCCACCUGCCUUCCCAUUCAGCAAGUCUACUCUAGUUUUGCAAGAGCCAAGCUGACAUGUCCUCCUUGUAUUUGAGAAACUCCAGGCUCUUUGUAUGAUUUAUGGGAUGAUGUGAAGCAAUAAAUCUUUGCUACAGCUAAAUGGAACUAUGAUA